rnacentral:rRNA from 2 species
GGGUUGUGAGGUUAAGCGACUAAGCGUACACGGUGGAUGCCCUGGCAGUCAGAGGCGAUGAAGGACGUGCUAAUCUGCGAUAAGCGUCGGUAAGGUGAUAUGAACCGUUAUAACCGGCGAUUUCCGAAUGGGGAAACCCAGUGUGAUUCGUCACACUAUCAUUAACUGAAUCCAUAGGUUAAUGAGGCGAACCGGGGGAACUGAAACAUCUAAGUACCCCGAGGAAAAGAAAUCAACCGAGAUUCCCCCAGUAGCGGCGAGCGAACGGGGAGCAGCCCAGAGCCUGAAUCAGUGUGUGUGUUAGUGGAAGCGUCUGGAAAGGCGCGCGAUACAGGGUGACAGCCCCGUACACAAAAAUGCACAUACUGUGAGCUCGAUGAGUAGGGCGGGACACGUGGUAUCCUGUCUGAAUAUGGGGGGACCAUCCUCCAAGGCUAAAUACUCCUGACUGACCGAUAGUGAACCAGUACCGUGAGGGAAAGGCGAAAAGAACCCCGGCGAGGGGAGUGAAAAAGAACCUGAAACCGUGUACGUACAAGCAGUGGGAGCACGCUUAGGCGUGUGACUGCGUACCUUUUGUAUAAUGGGUCAGCGACUUAUAUUCUGUAGCAAGGUUAACCGAAUAGGGGAGCCGAAGGGAAACCGAGUCUUAACUGGGCGUUAAGUUGCAGGGUAUAGACCCGAAACCCGGUGAUCUAGCCAUGGGCAGGUUGAAGGUUGGGUAACACUAACUGGAGGACCGAACCGACUAAUGUUGAAAAAUUAGCGGAUGACUUGUGGCUGGGGGUGAAAGGCCAAUCAAACCGGGAGAUAGCUGGUUCUCCCCGAAAGCUAUUUAGGUAGCGCCUCGUGAAUUCAUCUCCGGGGGUAGAGCACUGUUUCGGCAAGGGGGUCAUCCCGACUUACCAACCCGAUGCAAACUGCGAAUACCGGAGAAUGUUAUCACGGGAGACACACGGCGGGUGCUAACGUCCGUCGUGAAGAGGGAAACAACCCAGACCGCCAGCUAAGGUCCCAAAGUCAUGGUUAAGUGGGAAACGAUGUGGGAAGGCCCAGACAGCCAGGAUGUUGGCUUAGAAGCAGCCAUCAUUUAAAGAAAGCGUAAUAGCUCACUGGUCGAGUCGGCCUGCGCGGAAGAUGUAACGGGGCUAAACCAUGCACCGAAGCUGCGGCAGCGACGCUGAUGCGUUGUUGGGUAGGGGAGCGUUCUGUAAGCCUGCGAAGGUGUGCUGUGAGGCAUGCUGGAGGUAUCAGAAGUGCGAAUGCUGACAUAAGUAACGAUAAAGCGGGUGAAAAGCCCGCUCGCCGGAAGACCAAGGGUUCCUGUCCAACGUUAAUCGGGGCAGGGUGAGUCGACCCCUAAGGCGAGGCCGAAAGGCGUAGUCGAUGGGAAACAGGUUAAUAUUCCUGUACUUGGUGUUACUGCGAAGGGGGGACGGAGAAGGCUAUGUUGGCCGGGCGACGGUUGUCCCGGUUUAAGCGUGUAGGCUGGUUUUCCAGGCAAAUCCGGAAAAUCAAGGCUGAGGCGUGAUGACGAGGCACUACGGUGCUGAAGCAACAAAUGCCCUGCUUCCAGGAAAAGCCUCUAAGCAUCAGGUAACAUCAAAUCGUACCCCAAACCGACACAGGUGGUCAGGUAGAGAAUACCAAGGCGCUUGAGAGAACUCGGGUGAAGGAACUAGGCAAAAUGGUGCCGUAACUUCGGGAGAAGGCACGCUGAUAUGUAGGUGAAGCGACUUGCUCGUGGAGCUGAAAUCAGUCGAAGAUACCAGCUGGCUGCAACUGUUUAUUAAAAACACAGCACUGUGCAAACACGAAAGUGGACGUAUACGGUGUGACGCCUGCCCGGUGCCGGAAGGUUAAUUGAUGGGGUCAGCGCAAGCGAAGCUCUUGAUCGAAGCCCCGGUAAACGGCGGCCGUAACUAUAACGGUCCUAAGGUAGCGAAAUUCCUUGUCGGGUAAGUUCCGACCUGCACGAAUGGCGUAAUGAUGGCCAGGCUGUCUCCACCCGAGACUCAGUGAAAUUGAACUCGCUGUGAAGAUGCAGUGUACCCGCGGCAAGACGGAAAGACCCCGUGAACCUUUACUAUAGCUUGACACUGAACAUUGAGCCUUGAUGUGUAGGAUAGGUGGGAGGCUUUGAAGUGUGGACGCCAGUCUGCAUGGAGCCGACCUUGAAAUACCACCCUUUAAUGUUUGAUGUUCUAACGUUGACCCGUGAUCCGGGUUGCGGACAGUGUCUGGUGGGUAGUUUGACUGGGGCGGUCUCCUCCUAAAGAGUAACGGAGGAGCACGAAGGUUGGCUAAUCCUGGUCGGACAUCAGGAGGUUAGUGCAAUGGCAUAAGCCAGCUUGACUGCGAGCGUGACGGCGCGAGCAGGUGCGAAAGCAGGUCAUAGUGAUCCGGUGGUUCUGAAUGGAAGGGCCAUCGCUCAACGGAUAAAAGGUACUCCGGGGAUAACAGGCUGAUACCGCCCAAGAGUUCAUAUCGACGGCGGUGUUUGGCACCUCGAUGUCGGCUCAUCACAUCCUGGGGCUGAAGUAGGUCCCAAGGGUAUGGCUGUUCGCCAUUUAAAGUGGUACGCGAGCUGGGUUUAGAACGUCGUGAGACAGUUCGGUCCCUAUCUGCCGUGGGCGCUGGAGAACUGAGGGGGGCUGCUCCUAGUACGAGAGGACCGGAGUGGACGCAUCACUGGUGUUCGGGUUGUCAUGCCAAUGGCACUGCCCGGUAGCUAAAUGCGGAAGAGAUAAGUGCUGAAAGCAUCUAAGCACGAAACUUGCCCCGAGAUGAGUUCUCCCUGACUCCUUGAGAGUCCUGAAGGAACGUUGAAGACGACGACGUUGAUAGGCCGGGUGUGUAAGCGCAGCGAUGCGUUGAGCUAACCGGUACUAAUGAACCGUGAGGCUUAACCUUACAACGCCGAAGCUGUU